UACGUAGGGGGCAAGCGUUGUCCGGAUUUAUUGGGCGUAAAGGGCUCGUAGGCGGUUUGUCGCGUCGGGAGUGAAAACCUCGGGCUUAACUCGGGGCUUGCUUUCGAUACGGGCAGACUGGAGGUAUGCAGGGGAGAACGGAAUUCCUGGUGUAGCGGUGAAAUGCGCAGAUAUCAGGAAGAACACCCGUGGCGAAGGCGGUUCUCUGGGACGGUACUGACGCUGAGACGCGAAAGCGUGGGGAGCGAACAGG
rnacentral:rRNA from 1 species